UACGUAGGGGGCUAGCGUUGUCCGGAUUUAUUGGGCGUAAAGAGCGUGUAGGCGGCCAGGUAGGUCUGCUGUGAAAACUCGAGGCUCAACCUCGAGACGUCGGCGGAAACCAUCUGGCUAGAGUCCGGAAGAGGAGAGUGGAAUUCCUGGUGUGGCGGUGAAAUGCGCAGAUAUCAGGAAGAACACCCGUGGCGAAGGCGGCUCUCUGGGACGGUACUGACGCUGAGACGCGAAAGCGUGGGGAGCGAACAGG
rnacentral:rRNA from 1 species